UUUAGGCAAGUGCUGGGAUUAAUUCCUAGAGGAAAGUCCAUGCUCACACAUUCUGAGAUGAAUGUAGUGUUUGUGCUUAGGGAAAAAAUAACCUAAGGUAGUGCUUUUGGCACUAACGGCUUAGUCUUUACCUAAGGAUUUUCUAUGGUAAAGGCUUGUAAAGUGCCACAGAGACGAGUGUCUGGGAAACUAGACUAUGUGAAACGCGGUAAACCCCACAAGUGAGAAACCCAAAUUAUGGUAGGGGAGCUUUAAAAGAAGAAAUGAAUUCUUUUAAGGACUAGAAAUAGUAGAUAAAUACUUGCCACCUAGAAAUAGGUACAGAACAUGGCUUAUU
rnacentral:RNase_P_RNA from 1 species